UACAGAGGGUGCAAGCGUUGUUCGGAAUUAUUGGGCGUAAAGCGCGUGUAGGCGGCAGUGCAAGUCGGGUGUGAAAGCCCUCAGCUCAACCGAGGAAGUGCGCCCGAAACUGCAUUGCUUGAGUACCGGAGAGGAUGGCGGAAUUCCCGAAGUAGAGGUGAAAUUCGUAGAUAUCGGGAGGAACACCGGUGGCGAAGGCGGCCAUCUGGACGGAUACUGACGCUGAGACGCGAAAGCGUGGGUAGCAAACAGG
rnacentral:rRNA from 1 species